UAUUGAGAGGUAUGGAGUGUUUUUGUCUUUCAUUAAUAUAUUUAGGACACUCUAUUAAUAUAUGUGUUACAUUGAUGUUGCAAUUACACAGGUCACAAAUAGGGCGAUUUGACUUGGAGAUUAGGUAGCUGUGAGUAAGUCUGCUAUGCCCUAUGCGUAAAUGAUUUAGCUUCACAAACAGCUGGCGAUUUAGGUCUAUCUCACACCAAGGUUCAAUUGAGGGCUUUAUUGUGUGUAGAGAUGAUUGUGAAAGAUUCCAUUCGUUUUCCCAUUUGUUUAACACUUUUUCUUUAA
rnacentral:lncRNA from 1 species